rnacentral:hammerhead_ribozyme from 1 species
ACCCAGUUGACGAGUCCCAAUUAGGACGAAACGCUCUUUCUGAAU